rnacentral:rRNA from 1 species
CGAACGGGUGAGUAACACGUGGGUAAUCUGCCCUCGGUUCCGGGAUAGCCCGGGGAAACUCGGAUUAAUACUGGAUAGCCUCACGAACCUUCGGGGGAGUGAGAAAAGGUAGCUUUGGCCUCUGACCGAGGAUGAGCCCGCGGUGGAUUAGCUUGUUGGCGGGGUAACGGCCCACCAAGGCGACGAUCCAUAGCUGGUCUGAGAGGACGAUCAGCCACACUGGGACUGAGACACGGCCCAG